rnacentral:misc_RNA from 1 species
AUCAUUUGCUAUUUCUUCAUUUUUCUUAUAUAAUUGAGUUUAGUGACUUUUUCUAUAAAAAUUUUGCUAGUUGCUCUGUAUCUUGUGAUGAUUCUGUUCACAAUUUGGGACUAGGGGUUCUUGACAAAUAUUUGGGGCUGAUUUAAACAUUAUAAUUUGAGGUUAAAUGUAGGAAAGCUGGGAGAGCGUAAAGUGGAAAAUGUCGCUAUACCAUGGGGACGUGCAACCAAAUGGAAAGUUUUAUUACAAAUUCUUUAACAUGAAAAAUUACAAACUCCAGAGAAAUUUUCUGAGUGAGUUCUAUAUGCCUGGUAUGAGUUUGCAAUCUCUGGUGGAUUGUUUCUUUUGGUUUAAGGAAAGCCAAUAAGGGGCAAUGUAGGUUGUGAGUAACUCAACUAGCAAAUGACCAUCACUUUGGUUAAUUUUGAGAGAAGAUAAUUGGCGUGGUGCUUAAAAAUUUGUUUAUUCCAUUUUUUUUAUCACAGGUUCUGGGAAAUCCUAAAAAAGUUUGUCUUGUUCUCUGGCCUAAUUUUGCUUGUUGAAUCUUGGUGGAUAUCCAAAUAUUUUGGGAGUCUUGGUAAAACCUUCUGAAAAUUUGGGCAGUCCUAAUAUCAUAGGAGCAUAUUGGCAAAACUUGUUCAAACAUCUGGAAAUUUCGCUCUUCCCCUUAAUAUACAAUUGUCAAGGCUUGCUGGAGUUUGAAUCACUGCUUAUCAUACUCUUUUUUGGUUCAAAAGCUUUGGCUUACCAAUGCUUAGUUUCUUUUGUUAGAAUUUCUAUCCAGGCACAGUACUCCAGUUUUUCCCAAUUUCAAUUUCUCUUACUUAAACAUCCUCUACAUGUUCAUUCAAGUUUCUUUACUAAAGAAGCAGUCACCUAAGCUUAUUGUUUUCUACUUUUGCAGGAGAUGAAGCGGCAAUGUGACG